AUUAGCACUACCACCCUACAUGCCCCCAUCGCUAUUAGAACUCCCACCCUACAUGCCCCAUAGUCAUAUUCGAACUACCACCCUACAUGCCCCAUAGUCAUAUUAGACCUACCACCCUACAUGCCCCAUUAUCAUAUUAGAACUACCACCUACAUUGCCCCAUAGUCAUAUUCGAACUACACCCUACAUGCCCCUAGUCAAUUAGACUACACCCUCAUUGCCCCAUAGCAUAUUAGAACUACCACCCUACAUGCCCCAUAGUCAUAUUAGAACUACCACCCAAAUGCCCCCCCAUAGUCAUCUUAGAACUUACCCCCCCAGAACCUCCCUACUGACCCCCCAAUGUAAUAUUAGAACUACCCCCCCCGAACCUCCCUACAUGCCCCAUAGUAAUAUUAGAACUACCCCCCAGAACCUCCCUACAUGCCCCAAUAGUAAUAGAAACUCUGCCUACAUGGCUCAGAUGGCUUUUUUUGAGGAAGUGUGAUCCAACUGCCAUUGGAUGAAACAGGGGGUAGGCUAAAUGCCAUUGGAAGACACGCAGGGAGGCGGGACAUUGGUUGUGACUCUUGUUCCUUAAUACCAAGAUAUGCCUACUUCAUCUAUCUAUGUUUUGUGCCUGACAAAAGGAGCACACUGACACACACACACACACACACACACACUCCCAGUGACACUCCAGAAAGGACUGUGCUUUGGAAAGAUUUGUAUUCCUCAGAUGACACACACCACAACACUACAAGUUCUCCGUUCUGUUUUAUUUGAUGCAGCCCUAGUCACACUGCCUGUGGGCGUAUAUUAUCACAGACGGUGCUGUGUGCAUGUUCUGUGGAUGUAUUUUACUUCAAUGUUUGGUUUUUAAAGGGAUGCCUGGUAGAGUGUGAUAGAGAUUUGACUGAGGUAGUUUAUCCUAUAUGACUGACUCUACACUACAGUGUGCCUUUAGGAGAAUAUACACUCGCAGCGACCAGGAUCAUGUCUGUCAAGCUACCAGGCUUCAGGUGUGAUACCUUGCCUUCGCUGAAUAAUGUCUUACUUUACUCAGUCGUUUUGUUGUAGCAUGGUCGAACUGAUCGUCUCCAGAGCAACAUGUGUCCUGCAUCACAUUAUGCCUCCUAACCAUUGUCAAUUCAAACUGUCAUUUCAACGGUUUUAUGUUUUUAGUAUUUUAGACUGUUGACGUGCCUUUAACUUUGCUUUUUAAAACGUUUUCUUCACGUUACGAACAUUAAAUAUGCAAUCCCUCGUUCACUAGUUCCUGUUAUGGAGCAUCCCAAAAGGCACCUUACUCCCUAUUUAGUGCACUGCCUUUGACCAGUGCCCUAUUUAGUUCAUUUAUGGUGACAUUUGGGACAAUGACCUGCCUGGAUUGUCCAACACCUCUGGGGUGGGUUUAGCUCCAACACCUCUGGGGUGGGUUUAGCUCCAACACCUCUGGGGUGGGUUUAGCAGGCAGACAAGCCCACUUCUCUUCUGAUUUCUACGACAUCUUGUUAGUGCUUAGCUCAGAGGAAGGUUCCAUCUAGAAAAGUAGGGAAUACAUUCUGUAUAUGGAGGAGGAGAAGAGGGAGACAGAAGGUGGUUUGUGCUUGUGAAGGAAGUAGAUUUUAGAUGUAAUAACUCAUGGUUAAGGGUUGGGGUCAAUUCCAUUUCACAGAAAUGAUCUGAAAAUAACAGACUAUAAUAAGAUUAUAAUGCCUAUUUGCUGAGUUGAAAUGGUCUGGACCCAACCUUUGCUGUGUUUUUUGAAUGGGAACCAUGUCUUAAAUGGUCAGAUAUCCUAACUAACAGAACACUGCUUGGCAGAUUAUGCAACAUUUUCAAGGUUGGGGGUUGGUUUGGCAUUGUUGUGGGUGCAGACACCUGCACGUACAGAGACACACAGCCAUGUAUUCAAAUCAUGUGUCAAUAUCACAUUUAAACCCUACAUUUUAUUAUUCAUUUUUAUUGUAACAUAAAUAAAUUAUUGUUAGAUCUGUUUUACAGAAGUUUCCUCUAACC
ensembl:lncRNA